UCUACAUAUCGGGUGUAUGUCUGGGGUAAAUCACUUUAUCUAUGAUAUAGAGUUAUUCAUAUAGUUGUCUCUCUUGUCUGACAUGACCGUUAUCUCAUGUGGAGACUCCAGAUUACCACAAUGACCCAGAUUCACUCCCUAAGUCAUGGUCUCACAGGAAGGAGCUGCCAGAAAAUCCCAUUAUGCAGAUCAUCUGAAGGAUUCUUGCGGCCUUUGCUUUGAGAAAUUCAAACAUCUCCAUUGCUUGGAACAAGGCUCUGAUAUUGGGCAUGUCAUAUCUUUUCAGCUUUUACAGGAACAUGUUGCUGAUUACCACGGUCCUGGAAUAUUCCAGAGAAUCUUAUGCAAAACAUGGCCAAAAAGCAGCAGAACUGAAGCCAAUGACACUGUUCUGGGAAUACUGAAGACGAAGGAUGGCUGUUAUACAUGGCAGAGAGUGACCGUUCUCCGCCACCUGCUAGAUGCAGACAGUCCAGUAACUCGAGCACUUGCAGUCUAUGCUGCGGUACUGAAAGAUUAGGGUUCUCUUGUAUAUGGUAGUGUUGCAUUCUACUGUUUUCUAGCAAAAUGUACACAAAAGUUUUAACAAAGGGGCAUUGCUUAGGUUGCAAACUCAAAGGCUUGUGUAUGAAGGAGUGUCCAUACAACCUUAUUUUGACCUCAUCUGUAUAUGUCUCAACAGUCCCUGUGAAAGUCUCACCUUGCCCAGUAUUCCGGAGGAACAUCAGAGACAGAAUUAGGAAUGGAAGCCCCUAUAUCUGGCCUUUCCUAAAAUGUACUUGACUUUACAGCCUAAGCUGUUUGUUUUACUAUUGUCUUUUAUAUACACAUCCAUAUACACAUAUCAGUUUAUAGUAGUGAGAGAAAGGAAGAUGUGAUCCUCAUUUAGUGUGAAGAAAAAUCCUAAUUGGCUUCUUUCUCUGUAAUAAUUCUUAGAAAAGAGAGAUAACACAAAAAGGCUAAAGACUUUAUGAGCUGUAUGCUACACCUGUAAUUGUUGUACUUAAGAGUUCUUAACCACAGUGCCCAAGAAUAAAGGGGAGCUAUUGCAACGCA
rnacentral:lncRNA from 1 species